rnacentral:rRNA from 1 species
AGAGUUUGAUCAUGGCUCAGGAUGAACGCUAGCUACAGGCUUAACACAUGGCAAGUCAGGGGAAACGAUAUUGGAAGCUUGCUUCCGAUAGGCGUCGACCGGCGCACGGGUGAGUAACGCGUAUCCAACCUGCCCACCACUUGGGGAUAACCUUGCGAAAGUAAGACUAAUACCCAAUGAUAUCUCUAGAAGACAUCUGAAAGAGAUUAAAGAUUUAUACGGUGAUGGAUGGGGAGUGCGUCUGAUUAGCUUGUUGGCGGGGUAACGGCCCACCAAGGCGACGAUCAGUAGGGGUUCUGAGAGGAAGGUCCCCCACAUUGGAACUGAGACACGGUCCAAACUCCUACGGGAGGCAGCA